CAGGGCCUCUAUAGCGCCAUCUUUUGACAAAAGUGGGGGGGUUAGUUUAACCUACAGUCACCAAACUCAGGACACAUAUUGUUCUCAUUAAGCUGGACAACUUUCUAAUUUACAGUCAUUAGCUGCGACCAACAGGAAGUCAGAUAUUUUGGUUUGAAUGUGGAUUUUUCACACACUCACAUAGACGUAGGGUCUUCAAAUAAUAAUGUAUUAUUUGAAGUGUAUACAAGAUAUUUGCUGUUGAUGUUUGAAUUUGAUAUUAAUUGUUUUGCUUUGUUUAUGCAAGGCUAGGUUUUUUUCCUAUGUUUAUUUCUACGUGAUCUCCUGCGAGAGUUUAAUGUUUUGUGCCAUAUUUAUGGUGCGUUCAAGUAAUGUCGGAAAGAUCGUAUUUACGAGCAGAACCGACAUGAAUGCCACCACAAUGUCAUAAAUACCAGUGGGAAGCUCGUAAUUUUCUUUAAGCUCCGAUCUGUACGAGUUGGGGGCGUGUCAGUCAGAAACAUAGUGAAAUACCACAAUACUUACAGGUAUUUAGCAGUGACAUUGUCAGGCUUUUCUGUUUACAAUGAAGUAAGCUGAUUACCAGUAAAAAAAUACGAAUGCAUCACAAUAUAAAAAUGUAAUAUGUAACAAUAAAGUUUACAAUGGCUUCAUAAAUUAAUAAUAAAAAAAAAGCAACAUACAACUAAUGCACAUUCUUUGCUCUACAUUUUUUUAGAAGCAGAAGUGUUGUUAUUUUGUGUAAUUAAUUUAGAGAAGGCACACCGCCAUCAUACUCAGACAAAAGUGACUUGAACGUACAAUCGUACACACGACUUCCCACCUCGUAAAUACGAACUUCCCAGGAGGACUUGGACGCACCAUUAAUCCUUUUGGAGAAGAAUUGUCUGUGUAUCAGACGCAAUUAAAUGUGCACAAUGGUGAGCUACCCAUGGACCUGGUUCCACUUUGAACUGCUUUGAAAUCAUCAACUGUGAUAGUCCCUAAGACAGUUCUUUUCAUUUGAGAAGCACAGGCGAACAUGCACUUGAUACAGUGUAUUUGUGUAUCCAUUAUUGCAGUGUCUGCAGCAUCCUCUCUUCGUUUUUACUGGUAAAUGUGCAGUCAUGUCUUUGUGUACAUCCAGACGGGGGUGGUCCGAUGACAUCUUGGCAUUCUGAAAUGGAAAAAGUUGGAAAAAGAAAAUAAGUGAAUAAUACAUAUGGGUCUUAUAUUGUAGUAGAUAAACUGAAAAAAUAGACAGGGUGGUAGACCAUGUGUUGAGGGUAGAGAUCUAAGAAUUAUCCAUCAAAGUGUUAUAAUUUCAAUGCAAAUGCUAAUCAAAAUUCUAAUCAAAAUACUGUCUGGAUCACCUAUUAUGCUUUCUACAUAUCAUACUAAAAGUAACACAUGCAUACCCCCAGAGUACUUACAGGUUCAUAUUCAAGACCAUUCACAGACAUUCAGAGCCUGUUUUUUAUAUCCUAAUGCUAUAAACUGCUACCUGGGCAACACUCAUAAAAAAAUCUCAGGAACAUUUAGAAGUUAAAAAACAAAUAAACUACAAGGAUACAGGGAGUUUCAGAUACUGCUCUGGAUGAUGGAGUUUCAAAUUCCACAUGCAAUUUAUUCCUGUGUUUAAUUAUUGUCUAAACUAAACUAAGUACAAAUUUAACAGAAAGUUAGUAACAAUGAAUCUAACAGUUUAAAUUUCAAUUUGUGACCAUGUGAGAAGUGCAGUGUCCUUAUGUAAUGUGUAGGAGCACAGGCUAUUUUGACUACCACUCUAGCCCAACGUUGUAGAAUUACGACAUGGUAUAACAAUCUCUAAAUCAAAUUUGAUUAAUGUUUUCCAAAAUAACUAAAUAUACCUGUGUUCUAGACAUUGUAAUAAACACAAAAAGAAAAUAUAAGGAAUUUUACUUACUUGAAUCUUGACAAAUCCAGUCAUGUAAAAAAAAAAAGGAGAUGAGCUUGAUGCGAAGUUUGCAGGUAGAGUGAGUUCAUGGUCAGAUGACCGGACAUAUAAACAC